rnacentral:rRNA from 1 species
AUUGAACGCUGGCGGCAGGCCUAACACAUGCAAGUCGAGCGAGCGGCGGACGGGUGAGUAAUGUCUGGGAAACUGCCUGAUGGAGGGGGAUAACUACUGGAAACGGUAGCUAAUACCGCAUACCAUCAGAUGUGCCCAGAUGGGAUUAGCUAGUGGGUGGGGUAAUGGCUCCCCAAGGCGAAGAUCCCUAGCGGGGCUGAGAGGAUGACCAGACAGACAGGAACUGAGAAACGGUCCAGACUCCUACGGGAGGCAGCAGUGGGGAAUAUUGCACAAUGGGCGCAAGCCUGAUGCAGCCAUGCAGCGUGUAUGAAGAAGGCCUUCGGGUUGUAAAGUACUUUCAGCGGGGAGGCGUUACCCGCAGAAGAAGCACCGGCUAACUCCGUGCCAGCAGCCGCGGUAAUAC